rnacentral:rRNA from 1 species
UGGGGAAUAUUGCACAAUGGGCGCAAGCCUGAUGCAGCAACGCCGCGUGAGGGACGACGGCCUUCGGGUUGUAAACCUCUUUUGGCAGGGAAGAAGCGAAAGUGACGGUACCUGCAGAAAAAGCACCGGCUAACUACGUGCCAGCAGCCGCGGUGAUACGUAGGGUGCAAGCGUUGUCCGGAAUUAUUGGGCGUAAAGAGCUCGUAGGCGGUUUGUCGCGUCUGCUGUGAAAACCCGAGGCUCAACCUCGGGCCUGCAGUGGGUACGGGCAAACUAGAGUGCGGUAGGGGAGAUUGGAACUCCUGGUGUAGCGGUGGAAUGCGCAGAUAUCAGGAGGAACACCGAUGGCGAAGGCAGAUCUCUGGGCCGUAACUGACGCUGAGGAGCGAAAGCAUGGGGAGCGAACA